rnacentral:pre_miRNA from 1 species
UCUCGCGUGAAAUCAACGGCCGCAUAUUAUAAAUCACUUAUUUGAAUGUGGUUUGUGAUAUUCGGCCUAAGAUUACCACUCGUAA